CCUACGGGUGGCAGCAGUGAGGAAUAUUGGUCCAUGGACGAGAGUCUGAACCAGCCAAGUAGCGUGAAGGAUGACUGCCCUAUGGGUUGUAAACUUCUUUUAUAUGGGAAUAAAAUGUUCCACGUGUGGGAUUUUGUAUGUACCAUAUGAAUAAGGAUCGGCUAACUCCGUGCCAGCAGCCGCGGUAAUACGGAGGAUCCGAGCGUUAUCCGGAUUUAUUGGGUUUAAAGGGAGCGUAGAUGGGUUGUUAAGUCAGUUGUGAAAUUUUGCGGCUCAACCGUAAAAUUGCAAUUGAUACUGGCAGCCUUGAGUACAGUUGAGGUAGGCGGAAUUCGUGGUGUAGCGGUGAAAUGCUUAGAUAUCACGCAGAACUCCGAUUGCGAAGGCAGCGUACCGGCGCCAGACUGACGCUGAGGCACGAAAGCGUGGGGAUCGAACAGGAUUAGAUACCCGAGUAGUC
rnacentral:rRNA from 1 species